AUGUUUAAAAAAACCCUCUCAAUCUGAUAUCAAAAAGUGCCCUCUGCGCAAAGGUUUAGCGCGUUCAUCAGCGGUGAGUUUAACAACACUCAACUGCAGGUAAAACGGCAUUCAGAGGUGAGUUUGACCAAAGCAACGCUCAACUGCAGGUAAAAGCAUUAAAAUGUGAGUUUAACAACGCUCCAAGGCGCGUGCAAGUAAGCAGUUUAAGCGUUUUAUUACAACCCAUUCUCACUCCUAAAGCGCCAAAAAAACUGACGCCUCUAGCGUCACUAUGAAGACGCCAAAGGCGCCCCUCGGCGUCGCUAUAUCGACGCACUAGGACCUACAUUGCUUUAAGUGGGAAACUUUUGGCGUCAGUACUCAGACGCGAAGGGCAUGAGAUGUUUAUCGCUAUGAAAUCACGUUCAAGAAGUCUCAUUCAGCGCACAUCGCGAUAUUUGCCAUCAGUUUACAUGUGCCACAGGUUGGGUGAGUAGUCGUAAAUACGCUGAUUUAAUGCCUGUUAUAAAAUGUAUUCCGUCUUCUUUAUUAAUCAGAAUAGCGCUGUAUGUUUCCUCGGGUUUUAACUUCAAAUUUCAUUUGUUACUAUUGUACGUGUCGUGGUUACCAUGAUUUUACUACAAAUACAACUUACAUCUUUGAACCUGAUAUGAAUAUAAAACGGAUCGAAGGUCUAUGGCACGUCACGUGACAGAUAGAGUUUAAUCACUCUAGUUAGCAGCUGUCUUCAUUUAGUUAAACGCAAUGAAACUCAAAGACAGCCUCGGAUGACCGAUAUAAUACAGCGAGGAAACAUACAGCGCUAUUCUGAUUAAUAAAGAAGACGGAAUACAUUUUUAUAACAGGCAUUAAAUCAGCGUAUUUACGACUACUCACCCAACCUGUGGCACAUGUAAACUGAUGGCAAAUAUCGCGAUGUGCGCUGAAUGAGACUUCUUGAACGUGAUUUCAUAGCGAUAAACAUCUCAUGCCCUUCGCGUCUGAGUACUGACGCCAAAAGUUUCCCACUUAAAGCAAUGUAGGUCCUAGUGCGUCGAUAUAGCGACGCCGAGGGGCGCCUUUUGGCGUCUUCAUAGUGACGCUAGAGGCGUCAGUUUUUUGGCGCUUUAGGAGUGAGAAUGGGUUGUAAUAAAACGCUUAAACUGCUUACUUGCACGCGCCUUGGAGCGUUGUUAAACUCACAUUUUAAUGCUUUUACCUGCAGUUGAGCGUUGCU
ensembl:lncRNA